rnacentral:tRNA from 1 species
GCCCUGGUGGCUCAACAGUUAAGUGUUUGGCUGCUAAUCAGAAGAUUGGUGGUUCAGACCCACCCAAUGGCU